rnacentral:rRNA from 1 species
GAUGAACGCUGGCGGCGUGCCUAAUACAUGCAAGUCGAGCGAACAGACGAGGAGCUUGCUCCUCUGACGUUAGCGGCGGACGGGUGAGUAACACGUGGAUAACCUACCUAUAAGACUGGGAUAACUUCGGGAAACCGGAGCUAAUACCGGAUAAUAUAUUGAACCGCAUGGUUCAAUAGUGAAAGACGGUUUUGCUGUCACUUAUAGAUGGAUCCGCGCCGCAUUAGCUAGUUGGUAAGGUAACGGCUUACCAAGGCAACGAUGCGUAGCCGACCUGAGAGGGUGAUCGGCCACACUGGAACGGAGACACGGUCCAGACUCCUACGGGAGGCAGCCGUAGGGAAUCUGCCGCAAUGGGCGAAAGCCUGACGGAGCAACGCCGAGUGAGUGAUGAGGGUCUUCGGAUCGUAAAACUCUGUUAUUAGGGAAGAACAAAUGUGUAAGUAACUAUGCACGUCUUGACGGUACCUAAUCAGAAAGCCACGGCUAACUACGUG